GUUGGAGCCAAUUUCUUUGUAAACAGGAUGCAGAUGCUCUUCGCUGCAAGGACUGCAUGUGCUUCGAUUCUUAGGAGACAGAGACAUUCUGCUUCUUUCUCUUCUGCUCUGCUUUUUGAUGAUACUCAACUACAGUUCAAAGAAAGUGUUAAACAAUUUGCUCAAGAGAACAUUGCUCCCCAUGCCGCAAAAAUUGAUCAAACAAACUCUUUUCCUCAGGAUGUUAACUUAUGGAAGCUCAUGGGGGACUUCAAUCUUCAUGGAAUUACUGCACCAGAGGAAUAUGGAGGACUUGGUCUUGGUUACUUGUAUCACUGUAUGGCAAUGGAAGAAAUAAGUCGCGCUUCUGGGUCUGUUGCCCUCUCCUUUGGUGCACAUUCAAACCUGUGCAUCAAUCAGCUGGUGAGGAAUGGAAACCCAGCUCAAAAGGAGAAGUACUUGCCCAAGCUUAUUAAAGGGGAGCAUGUGGGAGCUCUUGCAAUGAGUGAACCCAAUGCUGGCUCAGAUGUUGUGAGCAUGAAAUGCAAAGCUGACAGGGUGGAUGGUGGAUAUGUCAUUAAUGGAAACAAGAUGUGGUGUACUAAUGGUCCUACCGCUGAAACAUUGGUUGUUUAUGCAAAAACGGAUGCAAAUGCUGGCUCAAAGGGAAUUACAGCAUUUAUCAUUGAGAA
rnacentral:misc_RNA from 1 species